rnacentral:tRNA from 1 species
CGGUAGCUCAGUGGUAGAGCAGCGCGCUGUUAACGCGUUGGUCGCAGGUUCGAAUCCCGCCCG